rnacentral:rRNA from 1 species
GUAGGCGGCAAGCGUUGUCCGGAAUUAUUGGGCGUAAAGCGCGCGCAGGCGGUUCUUUAAGUCUGAUGUGAAAGCCCACGGCUCAACCGUGGAGGGUCAUUGGAAACUGGAGAACUUGAGUACAGAAGAGGAAAGCGGAGUUCCACGUGUAGCGGUGAAAUGCGUAGAGAUGUGGAGGAACACCAGUGGCGAAGGCGGCUUUCUGGUCUGUAACUGACGCUGAGGCGCGAAAGCGUGGGGAGCAAACAGGGAUUAGAUACCCUGGUAGUCCACGCCGUAAACGAUGAGUGCUAAGUGUUAGGGGGUUUCCGCCCCCCUUAGUGCUGCAGCUAACGCAUUAAGCACUCCGCCUGGGAGUACGGCCGCAAGGCUG